rnacentral:rRNA from 1 species
UACGUAGGGUGCGAGCGUUGUCCGGAAUUAUUGGGCGUAAAGAGCUCGUAGGCGGUGUGUCACGUCGGCCGUGAAAACCUGCAGCUUAACUGUGGGCGUGCGGUCGAUACGGGCAUCACUGGAGUUCGGCAGGGGAGACUGGAAUUCCUGGUGUAGCGGUGAAAUGCGCAGAUAUCAGGAGGAACACCGGUGGCGAAGGCGGGGUCUCUGGGCCGAUACUGACGCUGAGGAGCGAAAGCGUGGGGGAGCGAACAGG